rnacentral:sRNA from 1 species
AAGGAGUCUCCCGGGCCGGGCCUCGCGUUGGCUCCGGGCCACCCUCUGUCCUGAUUUUGCCCCUGCAGUCGCCCCUGUGCUCCUCCUGGAGUCCCACUGCGCGGCAGCCCGAGACACGGUGCAGUGCCUGUGCGUGGUGAAGUCCAACCCGGAGCCGUCCGUGGCCUUUGAGCUGCCGUCGCGCAAUGUGACCGUGAACGAGAGCGAGCGGGAGUUCGUGUACUCGGAGCGCAGCGGCCUCGUGCUCACCAGCAUCCUCACGCUGCGGGGGCAGGCCCAGGCCCCGCCCCGCGUCAUCUGCACCGCGAGGAACCUCUAUGGCGCCAAGAGCCUGGAGCUGCCCUUCCAGGGAGCCCAUCGACUGAUGUGGGCCAAGAUCGGGCCUGUGGGCGCCGUGGUCACCUUUGCCAUCCUGAUUGCCAUCGUCUGCUACAUUACCCAGACACGCAGGAAAAAGAAUGUGACAGAGAGCCCCAGCUUCUCGGCAGGGGACAACCCUCCCGUCCUGUUCAGCAGCGACUUCCGCAUCUCUGGGGCACCAGAGA